UUGAAUGAACUUGGUGUGGUUGUUGCUGGCCCUUUUGGGGGCAUGUGCACACCCACCAUCCUCAUCUCUCCACCUGUGCACCUCUUGUAGACUUGGGAAUAGACUUUCCGAGGCAACUCGGCCUGGAGGAAUGCUGCCCAAAAGCUUUCUUUGUAUUUCCUGGUCUACGUUUUUCAUAUACCCCAUAGCAUGUAACAGAAUGUAUCAUUUGGGCCCUUGUGCCUAUAAAACCUUAUA
rnacentral:misc_RNA from 1 species